UUUGUUUUGAAAGCCUUGCU
rnacentral:piRNA from 1 species